ACGCACGCUGGCGGCAUGCCUAACCCAUGCCAGUCGAACGAGACCUUCGGGUCUAGUGGCGCACGGGUGCGUAACGCGUGGGAACCUGCCCUUAGGUUCGGAAUAACUCCCCGAAAGGGGUGCUAAUACCGGAUAAUGUCUUCGGACCAAAGAUUUAUCGCCUUUGGAUGGGCCCGCGUUGGAUUAGCUAGUUGGUAGGGUAAAAGCCUACCAAGGCGACGAUCCAUAGCUGGUCUGAGAGGAUGAUCAGCCACACUGGGACUGAGACACGGCCCAGACUCCUACGGGAGGUAGCAGUGGGGAAUAUUGGACAAUGGGCGAAAGCCUGAUCCAGCAAUGCCGCGUGAGUGAUGAAGGCCUUAGGGUUGUAAAGCUCUUUUACCCGGGAUGAUAAUGACAGUACCGGGAGAAUAAGCUCCGGCUAACUCCGUG
rnacentral:rRNA from 1 species